UGGCAGCGAGCGCCAGGCUGAGAGGGAGUCCGUCCAACGGCACUUCACAGCACCUUCACGCUGAACAAUUCAUUAACAAAAACAAAGAUGUUAAAGAGUGGGAAAAUGUGCUGAUCAGCAGAGCGGGUUCCUGGAAAGCAGAAGGAUGGGCUUUCGCCAGAGCAGCUGAGCGAACACACACUAACUGUAAGGAGGAAACUACCACAGGAUUCCACAGGAACACACACUUCCUGAAAACUAAGAGAUAAUGAGACGAUGACGAGAGAACGAGGUUCAUCCUGACUUGAAAAAUGAAAGAAGUAACACUGAUAUUAGUAUGUGGCAUCCUUCUUGUUGAAUGUGUUAUAGCUGGAAAUAUGUCAGUUGAUUUCACAAUCGACUAUAUUGAUUAUGAAGACCCAAACACCGCAUCUCUCAGUUACAUUGAAGACGAACCAACCUCCCCCUCUCCCUUCUUCACUGCUCAAGCCAGUGGGACUACUGGCCAAAAUAGAUCCAUUGAUUUCAUAUUGGAGUAUAAUUAUGACGAUUAUGCCAGUGGGAGUACUGGCCGAACCGCGGAGAAAACUGGAGGCUUGCUCACCCUCUUCUUGGUCUUUUGGAACAACUGGUGUUAGCUACAGGAACUCUAAAGCACAGGGUGUGACACUGCCUCUUGAUCCUGCCUCAAUAAACAUAAAGUGUGUUAAACAAAUAG
ensembl:lncRNA